CAAGUACUCACUCCGUCCGAAAAAGCUUGUCCCAAGCUUGUCCCUCAAAUGAAUGUAUCUAGCACUAACUUGGUGCUAGAUACAUCCAUUUGAGGGACAAGCUUUUCCGGACAGGAGUAGCAA
rfam:Triticum aestivum genome assembly, contig: Triticum_aestivum_CS42_TGACv1_scaffold_049916_1BS